CUAAAGGUACAGGGCAUUAGUACCGACACUUUAGUCCCGGUUCAGGAACCGGGACUAAAGGCCCUUAUGAACCGAGACUAUAGGCCCUUUUUCUACCAGUGAGGCGAGCAUCUCCGUCGUUCAGGCCCGCGAGCGGCCACGGCGACUGUGUUCUCUCACCAGCUGGGCGGCGUUGUCGAUGCAGGUGACUCAGUCAUCUAGCUUUGAGGCGACGCCCUCCACGCACCGGGGCAUGGGGAGUUCCAGCGCCGACGAAGGUAGGAUGUCUUUGGAUGAUGUCGUCGUCCAUGCAUGCGUACUGGACAAGCGUGUCCAAGGGAGCAGCACGCGUCAGAGCUGAGGGAGUCGGCGGUGGCUUCAGGCGAGUGAGACGGGGCCGUGAUUAGCUUCACCUGUCGCGCAGUGGCCGUGACCUGCGCCGCCCUGGGGACGACAAUGGUUGGCGACCAGGCGAAUCUACAUGCAUGGUUGUGGGGGCGAAUGCCCCCACUCGAUUUUUUUGGCCCUCUUAUACUGGUCCGGGAUACUCAGCGUUGCCCCCACUUGAAGGGUGUCGGCGGUGGGGGGUUGUCAGCAUGGGUGUUGUGGACGGAGCCGAAGUCGACGCGGAUGCCGGUGGUUCCGGGAGAGCAUGCCAGGACGUGGAUGAAGUCAUUGUAGUCAGUAGAAAAGUGACCUGGCCUCCAGGCAGAAGACGAAAGCGGUGACGGCACAUGUGUGUGUGUUCGGAGGAAGCCGCAACUCCUCCUCGCGUGUCUCCCACUAUGACUCGCGUGGGUGGUGGGCUGGUGACGGCAGGCGACUCGCCAUUGGGAUUUCUUGAUAGGAGACUGGCGAUUAGUUUUCUAAUUAAUAAUUAGAUGCGUUCAUGAUUAGUUAUCUAAUAGGAUGCGUCCGUCAUAAGUUUCCUAAUAAUUAGAUGCGUUUGCUGAUUAAUUUUCUAAUAGGAUGCGCACGGCCGCCACCUCUAAAGUGUGCAGUCUCCACCUCAGCUCCAUGCAGCCAUGCUGUACACGCACAGUGCCACCCAUGCAUUCAUCUCUCUAUUCUGACCUCCGUCGUUUCCCCUGCAAAUGGUCUCGACUGGGUAAGCAAGCUCGACUGGGUGCAUCUCUCUGGCCUUCCCGUCAACGCAAGGUAGGACGGCGGGCAAGUACCUCGCCUUGGAGAUGAUUUGCACGCCUUCUCGUCCGCCCGCUUGAAGCGAGCGCAGUGCCGCGAGGACAGCUUCCGUCCACCCGCCUGCCCCUGCCCACCAGGUGUUUGUGUUUAUUCCAACAAGGUUCGCCGUUCCACCACAAACUAGCCACGAGGUCAGCUAAAAUGAGCCAGUUCCCACAUUUCACACAUCUUUCAAAGAUGCAUUGGACUUCGAGUGAUGGCACGUAUGCACAACGCUGGAAUAACAUGCAUAUCAAGUUCUUCUACUACUUGAAAGUUGGUUGUUUUGGAUAAUUCAAGACCAACCUUUUGGCAAAUGCAAUUUACGUUCAACCAUCUCCAUGGCACCAUCUCUUCUUACUGUGAAUUCACUACAACAUAACACAAUAUGCAAGUAGGAUGGUCGCAUGAUUCGCUAAUAUAUAGUCGCAUGAUUAAAAAGACACUUCUUAAAUGUACCAUCUGGUGCGAGUCCAUCCGCCCCACCUCUCCUUUUUCCGAGCUGGAGCUCGUGUCUACUCCACCAGAUGAUGUGGUGAUGACGCAGCAGUCAAAGCUGCAUUCAUUUCUCAAAUGAUUGGACCUUCUGCACUUUGGCUGCCGGCGAGGAGAACAGAAACGUGGCGUACAACCGCCAGGUCUGGGGAAGCGUUUUGCGACACCACACUUGAAGUCUGCUUGGAUCUCUCCCUGGGGUCGCCCCAUCUCCAUGGCACCAUCCAUACAACCGGCAUGUGCGCUCCCAGUGGCGGAGCUAGCCAGAAUCUACUGGGGGCAAAAGCUGAAAUAUGAGUGUUUGGGGGGCAAAAGCGUACAUAGCUCCGCCACCGUGCGCUCCCCUGCACCAUCUGCUGGAUUUUGAAUCUGCUUUCUUCCUAUCAGUUUUAUUUUAGCAUCAAUAAACUAGCGAGCUUGGCAUUAUUCAACCGGAACCUUACUUGGCACUGUUCAAUAUUUGAAACUUACGGGGCAUUCAGCAAGGUCAGAAACGCGCCCGACAGGUUUGUAAAUCUGUCCAACUUAUACUCUUGUACUCUUGUAUAAGUUGGUCACCGUAGAUAAUUCAAGACAACUUAUAUAAGUUCUUGACAUACUCUUGUACUCUUGGAGUGAUGAAACGUGCCGGACAGGUGUGGGCAUAUCAAGUUCUUUUACUCUUGUAUAAGUUGGUUACUACUGUAGAUAAUUCAAGACAAAUUUGUUUGCAAAUGCAAUUGCCCUUCAAUAGGAGACUCAUUCCAACUUGUUGCCAUUCUUUUCAUGUGAAUUGACUUCAACCAAACAUAGUAUUUUUCCAACAAUUUGGGUUUGGCAAGGAAUCAUAAACGAAACAUGCAAUUAGAAUGGUCGCACGACUCAAAAGACAUGAUAAACAGUUAUGACUGGCUUGCUCAAGACAUAUCCCAUGAUCACAAUUUAUUUAUUUAUUUCCAAAAAAGAGUAUAUAUAGUCCACUGUCUUAGGGUGUGAAAGUGAAUGCCAUAUGUUUCCGGAUUUGCUUCUCUCUUUAUCCAGCUGCAGUCUAUCUAAAAUAUUGGAGGAAAACGAAUAUACAGAUAUCCUCUCCCGCCUAAUCCAUCUACCAAUGUUUGUCUUCAGUGGUACGAGUCCAUCAGGCCCACUACUGCAUUUUUCGAGCCAGAGCUCAUGUCUAUGCCACCAUACGACCUUGCAAUGAUGCUGGAGUCCAAGAUCAUGGUCAUGACCAUCCGUGGCUCGUCUGUUGCCGAGGGGAGAACAAAGACAUGCCAUGCGAACGCCAUCUUUGUGUGUAGCGUCAGUGAAAGCGUCGCGCUUUGUUGAUAUGCCGGUGGAGGCCAGCAACGCCAAGGCUGUCUGCUUUGGUCCCUCCAAGGGAAUGCUCAAGGUCGGUGAUGCUAGCUGUUCAUGCAGUCGGCGUGUGCCAGACAUCGACCAUUCUCACCCCGUCCUAGACUUCCAAGAUUGUGUGAAAGAAGUCUGUUUUGCUCCGUUUCAGUGUUCAUUUAAUUGGCUUCAUUAAAUUGGCCAUCCUCAUCGCGGCCUCGACUUGCACGUUUGUGUGAAAAUGGAUUCCCAUGCAUACAUCAGUGAUCAUUGUUGAUGUCUCAUAUAGUCAAAUCAGCCACUGUAUUCAGAAAAGUUGAAGUCACGGUCACACUGAGUAUGUCAGGGUAAGUCAAUACAGUCACCGAGCCCAGGUGCAUAUGUUUUGGUAGAUUACUUGCCCUACAUUAGGUUGGACGCUGCACUUGUUCGACUCCAAUUCAUCACAGAUCAAGGAUCAAAGGUCCCUCUAAGGCGCAAUCUGGCUGUGGCAUGCCAAAUCAGCCUUUCACAGGAGGAAUUGGUUGAUUUUGCAUCGCAGGGCGCCCAAGACGAUCUGAACCGUAUUUGAUUUUCUGCUGGUCAUUUGGGUGUGUACUACUAGGUCAUGUCAUGGUUGUUGUCGCGUCUGCUCAACUUUGAUUUGUAUCUUCUUCAGAUUCAGACAUAUUUAAUGUGAGUUAAUUAAGUCACCUCCUUCAACAUCUGCCAAGUUUUAGUACAAGUUGGGAGUUUAUAUACUCACAUUUCACAUCCUUUUUUUUGUUUGAAAAGGAGGAUUACCCUCGGCCUCUGCAUCAAUUGAUACAUACAACAUCUUUAUUAUUAUUCAAUAGAGUCUGACAAUAUGUAUAUAUGGAUCAACCCGAAGCCACUUAUCUUGCGAACAAAGUUGCAACACCUACACUCUUGAUAAUGUGCCCGAACCGCAUGAUCGUGCACUAUCUAAUCCAAUGGCCUCACGCCCGCACCGGGCCGAGAACACCCCCUGUUUUGGCUGACCUGCAGCGUGCACCACAUGCGCAUGCUCUGAAUCCGCCGCCGCCAUCUUCCGCCAUCCCAUCUUCUGGAUCGGUCAAUGCAUUAACCUUGUCAGGCCAUAUUGUUGUCGACGCCACCACGACGCCAAAUAGUGUCACCCUCCUGCACAUGUCCAUCCACACGCGCCCGUCGUCGAAACUCCAUUGCGCCACGCAGCCGAGACCCACCGUUGGCCUUGCGGUAGAUGUAACACUGCUCCUCCUCUUGUCUCUUCCAGCCAGCUCGCGCUCAAAAAUGAUGCCACCAGGAGGGAGAACGGUAUUGAAGACACCGUCAUCGUCCAAUCCAGGAGACCGAUAUAUAGGGUUUCCCCCGGAACAUCGCAUGUAUGUUGCCGUAACCUACAACGACGAUGCCUCGAGAAGGAGAUGACGUCACAAACGUCGCCAUCGUCCGUCAUGACCACAGUCGGCGCGAUUUUCACCAGAACUCACGUCACCCCAAACUCGUAGGUGACCGGAUCCGUGCGGAGCCUCGCCGUGAAGACGAACGCUACCACCGGAACGCCGUCAUAGAACCUCCAGCCUCCCACACCGGUCCCUCCACAAAUGUUCAUGAUUUGAAAAAAUGCAGGCUUUGACAAAUCGAACAUAUAAACCACGCUAGAGUACCCGCCAUUCCAGGGGCACUCCUCGCGCGAGACGUUUUUCACCGCAGGAUGAAUUCACCACAGUACUUUUUUGGCUGCUGGCAGCUGGUCAACCGUUGGCUUUUUCUCACAAUAGUGUAAGCUUAUAGAGAGGAUGACGGGUGGGGCUCGUUGGCUGUGGGGUCAUGCGACCGAUGUGAGUUUUCUCCAGUUUUUGGUACGCGAGGUGUGCAGCGCGUCCUCGCCAAUCGUGGCCUGGGUAAAAGGAACCCUAGAGCCCCCCGCGGCCGCCUCCCUCUUCUCGCGCUUCCUCCCCACGCCCCACCUCGCCCCACGCCGCCCAUCUCCGCCUCCUAUCUCACGUCCUCCCUGCCGCCAUGGCCUAGCCCACCCUCGUCAUCGACCUCCCCAAGCCCCUUCUCUCUCGGGGUCGGGGGUGCUGCUGGUCGCAAUCUGGACGAAGAAAAGGAGACCCCGGAAGAAGUUAGAGCGUCCUGGUGGUGGCUAGAUCGAUGCGGCCGACGGUGAGUGCCGGUGAGCGACGGGGAGACCCCCCAUAUGAAUCCAAAGUUAAUCACGUGCUUCUUGCCCCUCUCUCUCACUCUCUUCACAUGUACUCUCGUGGAUUUAGUCAGAUUUGACUUAUUCUUGUUUCCUUUCCAGAUUUAAUUUCAUCCUUGUUUCCAAGCUCUUCCUAUUCACAAUAUAUUAAUUAAUGACUUGUACAUACGUAUUUUAUCAUGUCUACUGAUAAAUCUCAUCACAUUACAGUUCAUACAUCAGUUUAUUUUAUCUUGUUUCCUUCAAGUAUGUAUUUAGGCUGUUCAUUUUCCCUUCUUCAGAUGUAUGCCAUGUAUGUGUAGCCAUGGUUCUGAAACACCCCCAUUCCUUCCCUUCCUAUCAAUUUUCUUUGAUUCAGUUAUUUGACUAAAUGAUAAUAUAUGCCCCAGGGUUAAUUAGUACCUAAAAUGUUACCUUUGGUUUGUGAAAAAGAUCUAGAGUGGCUUCUGCAGCUCCUGUUAUGUUUCAUUGAUUCAGUCAUGUAGUAGGAUAGUUCCACUGGAUUUUACUAAAUGGAUUUGUAGCUUUACUUAGUGAAAAUGCCUCAAUUGGUUUCUGCAACAUUGCUUGUCUGUUGGCAGCUGGAGCAUACUUGGUACAUGAGCCUUGCCGUAAGUGGUGGUGCAACGGUGACCUCGACGAGCAGGGCAGUGGCCAGACACGAGUAAGGCACCAAAGAUGACUGGAAGCACUCAAAAAAGUUUACCACGCUGGAGCUAUGUCAGGUUGUACGAGGGCAGUUAAUGAAUAUACUUGCGACCCUUUUACUCUCAGACUCUCCUCCUUUUCUCGCUGCUGAACCCCUGCCACCAUCAUGUCCAGACUGGCUGUCUCCAUGGUUGUGGCGCCAAGGUCACCGCAUCUUACAUCCUGAUGCAUAUCUGAGAUAGAAAAGAAGAGAAAUAAUCUUGUGGAAUUUCAUAUCUGAGAUAGAAAAGAAGAGAAAGAUUCGUGUGGAAGAGCUUGACGAAAAAGAAAGGGGCAGCACAACUGUACACCACCAUGAACAGGGGCAACACUCACAUUUCCCCUCCAAAAUUCAACAUUUUCAUAUUUUGAGGAGCUUCAGUACGUUUGCUCACCGAUGAACUAGAAGUUGUUUUGUGUACUGCAUGAUUGAGGAAGUGCUAUUGCAGAUCAAAGUUGGUAGAAGCAUCUGCUGGGAAUCAAGUGUUACAUGGCUGUGGGUGACAAGGUUAGUGGUUUAGGAGUUCGUGGCAAGACUGGCUUUUGGAAUUUAUCCUCGCUUCAUCAGUUGGGAUUUCUGUACAAAACUAAGAUAAUUUAUUUUGGUGCUUGCGAUGAGUAUUAGACAGAGGGGUGAUG